rnacentral:rRNA from 1 species
CCUACGGGAGGCUGCAGUGGGGAAUAUUGGACAAUGGGGGCAACCCUGAUCCAGCCAUGCCGCGUGUGUGAAGAAGGCCCUUGGGUUGUAAAGCACUUUCAGUGAGGAAGAACGCCUGGUGGUUAAUACCCAUCAGGAAAGACAUCACUCACAGAAGAAGCACCGGCUAACUCCGUGCCAGCAGCCGCGGUAAUACGGAGGGUGCGAGCGUUAAUCGGAAUUACUGGGCGUAAAGCGCGCGUAGGUGGCUUGAUAAGCCGGUUGUGAAAGCCCCGGGCUCAACCUGGGAACGGCAUCCGGAACUGUCAAGCUAGAGUGCAGGAGAGGAAGGUAGAAUUCCCGGUGUAGCGGUGAAAUGCGUAGAGAUCGGGAGGAAUACCAGUGGCGAAGGCGGCCUUCUGGACUGACACUGACACUGAGGUGCGAAAGCGUGGGUAGCAAACAGGAUUAGAUACCCUGGUAGUC